rnacentral:rRNA from 1 species
GGGCCCGCACAAGCAGUGGAGUAUGUGGUUUAAUUCGAAGCAACGCGAAGAACCUUACCAGGGCUUGACAUCCCUUUGAAGGGAUUAGAGAUAAUCCUGCCCUUCGGGGCAGAGGAGACAGGUGGUGCAUGGUUGUCGUCAGCUCGUGUCGUGAGAUGUUGGGUUAAGUCCCGCAACGAGCGCAACCCUUGUUGUUAGUUGCCAGCAUGUAAGGUGGGCACUCUAACAAGACUGCCGGUGAGAAAUCGGAGGAAGGUGGGGAUGACGUCAAAUCAUCAUGCCCCUUAUGUCCUGGGCGACACACGUACUACAAUGGCGACUACAGAGGGAGGCAAAACCGCGAGGCAGAGCAAAUCCCAAAAAGUCGUCCCAGUUCAGAUUGCAGGCUGCAACUCGCCUGUAUGAAGUCGGAAUUGCUAGUAAUGGCAGGUCAGCAUACUGCCGUGAAUACGUUCCCGGGCCUU